CGACGAGCAGCGAACGGGAGAGUAACGCGUGGGUAACCUACCCAGAAGUAGGGGAUAGCUCCGGGAAACCGGGGGUAAUACCGCAUGUACUUUGGUCGGCAUAAGUCGACUUUUGAAAAGGCGGGGAUCCUUCGGGACCUGUCGCUUCUGGAUGGGCCCGCGUCCGAUUAGCUAGUUGGUGGGGGUAAUGGCCUACCGAGGCUUCGAUCGGUAGCCGGCCUGAGAGGGUGAACGGCCUCAUUGGGACUGAGACACGGCCCAG
rnacentral:rRNA from 1 species